rnacentral:lncRNA from 1 species
GGCCGGCUCGGGCGGUUCGGGCGUGGUCGGAACUGGGCCGGUUCGGCCCAUUUGGCCGGACCGGUCCGGUUUUCCUUUUUUUUUCUUUUCUUUUUUCCUUUUUCUGAUUUCUUUGAUAUCUUUUGAUUUUGAACUCCAAAUUGGUCCAAAUAAAUUUCAGAAAAUUUGUAAAAUCGUCUAAUCCUGAUUCAACUUUUGGGACUAAUUUCCCCUCAAAAUAAAAUAUAUAAAAUACAUUUGCCCUAUAUAUUCCUUUAGGGCUAUAUAAAUAUUUAAAUAAAAUAGUUUUUCAACUCCAAAUAAUUAUCCAAAAAUUAUGGGAUAGCCUAUUUAUGCAAUAAACCCCUUAUAUAGCUAAACCCUAUUGGUUUGAAGAUCCAAAGCUCAAAUGGGUGAAACCCUAAGGUUUAAAUUGAAAUAAAACUUUUAAAAGCCUUUUUGAGAUUCAAAUUCGAAUUCAAAAAUGCAAUUGUGGCAUGAUGCUCAUGAGUGCAAUGCAUAUGAAAAGUUUUGGAAUUUUGGGAUGUUACAGACCUAACCCCCUUAAGAUGAAUCUCGUCCUCGAGAUUUGGUUUGGCUAGCAAAGAGGUGCGGGUGGUCUUCUCGAAGAUCAUCUUCGCGUUCCCAUGUGGCUUCCUCUUCAGUGUGAUGGUCCCUCUGAACUUUGCAAAACUUGAUGGUCUUGGGUCGGGUAUGUCUCUCAGUUGUAUCCAAGAUUCUUAUCGGUUUCUCCUCAUAGGUGAGGUCACUCUGCAGCUGGACUUCCUCUAACGGUAUCGUGUCCUUCAGUGGUGUGUCGGCCAUCUCAGGAUCACACUUCUUCAGUUGCGAUACGUGGAAGACGUUGUGGACAUUGGACAGUGCUUCCGGUAAAUCCAACUUGUAGGCUACCUCUCCUUGCCGUGACAAGAUCUUGAAGGGUCCAAUGAAACGAGGUACUAACUUUCCUUUGAUUCCAAAUCUCUUUACCCCACGUAUCGGCGAAACUUUGAGAUACG